GGGGGGGGGGGGGGGGGGGGGGGGGGGGGGGGGGGGGGGGGGGCGGGCGGGGGGGUUGCUUCGGUGGUGUUGGCGGCGGGCGGGUGCGUGGCAGGUGGCUCACCUACCUAUGAGCCUGGGAUAACUUCGGGAAACCGGAGCUAAUACCGGAUACUAUUUUGAGCCGCAUGGUUCAAAAGUGACAGACGGUCUUGCUGUCACUUCUAGAUUGCUCCGCGCUGCCUUAUAUAGUUGGUCAUGUAACGGUUUCCUAAGGCAACGAUGCAUAGCCGACAUGAGAGGGUGAUCGGCCACACUGGAACUGAGACAAGGUCCAGACUCCUACGGGAGGCAGCAGUAGGGAAUCUUCCGCAAUGGGCGAAAGCCUGACGGAGCAACGCCGCGUGAGUGAUGAAGGUCUUCGGAUCGUAAAACUCUGUUAUUAGGGAAGAACAUAUGUGUAAGUAACUGUGCACAUCUUGACGGUACCUAAUCAGAAAGACACGGCUAACUACGUG
rnacentral:rRNA from 1 species